rnacentral:rRNA from 1 species
UACGUAGGGUGCAAGCGUUGUCCGGAAUUAUUGGGCGUAAAGAGCUCGUAGGUGGCUCGGUAAGUCGGGUGUGAAAUUUCGAGGCUCAACCUCGAGACGCCACCUGAUACUGCUGUGGCUAGAGUCCGGUAGGGGAGCGUGGAAUUCCUGGUGUAGCGGUGAAAUGCGCAGAUAUCAGGAGGAACACCAGCGGCGAAGGCGGCGCUCUGGGCCGGUACUGACACUGAGGAGCGAAAGCGUGGGGAUCAAACAGG